AAUGAACGCUGGCGGCAGGCCUAACACAUGCAAGUCGAGCGAGGACUUCGGUCCUAGCGGCGGACGGGUGAGUAACGCGUGGGAACGUACCCUUUGCUACGGAAUAGCCCCGGGAAACUGGGAGUAAUACCGUAUGUGCUCUUCCAUUGUAGUGAUGGGGGAGGAAAGAUUUAUCGGCAAAGGAUCGGCCCGCGUUGGAUUAGGUAGUUGGUGGGGUAAUGGCCUACCAAGCCGACGAUCCAUAGCUGGUUUGAGAGGAUGAUCAGCCACACUGGGACUGAGACACGGCCCAGACUCCUACGGGUGGCUG
rnacentral:rRNA from 1 species